GCUGAUAGUUGUCACCCGCUUCCCUUGAAAAACAGUUUGCCCUACAGCCAAAUCUGUCAAUAUCAAAAGAAUAUGCAAAAAAAACAAUCAGACUUGACAGAAAUAUGGCUGAGACUCAAAGAAAAUUCAAGGAGAGGGGGUGGGGGGUACAAAAAGGGUCAGAUUAAUACAGCCGUUGAGAAAAUUCAAAACAAACCGAGACAUGAUCUUUUUCAAGGUCAGUCUCGCAAAAUGAGCAUUCUUGCGUUCUAACUACCCGCUAUUCAAAGUGCUCUGAACAUAUUAAGGGAAUCGUUCACAAACAUCGGCACAUUCUAAGAUCCGAUGACAGUAUCGGUAAUGUGUUUUCAGCCCUUCCCUUGGUUGUAUUCUCGCGGUGCAGAAAACUCAGAGAUCAAUUGGUCAACUCUGAUUUUACCACCCAAGAUAUUCCUGCACAACGCCUAUUUGCGCCUCUACUGGAUGGAAACUACAAGUGUAAUGGCUGUGCUCAAUGCAAUGGCACUUAUAAAUGUAGAUCCUUCAAACACCCCCAAACAGGGAAAUCGAUCCCAAUCAAAGGUGUUAUUACGUGUUCCACUAAGGCAGUUAUUUAUCUUAGAACUUGUCCUUGUGGUAAAAUGAUGUGGCUAAAACAAAGCGCGAAUUAAAAGUACGAAUCUCCGAGAAUCGUAGCACCAUCAGGUGCAAAAACUCGAUUUAUCCAGUUGCGGCCCACUUUUUGGAAGCAAAUCACUCGAUUUCAUCUCUACGUUAUAUUGGCAUCGAACAUGUCACCCUCCCGAGGAGAGGGAGUGACCUCGACAAUUUAUUGUUAAAACGAGAGGCUGCCUGGAUCUUUAAUUUAAAGACCUUUGCUCCCUUUUGGUCUCACCGUAGACGUUGAUCUGAAGCCAUUCUUGUGAUUUUGCUACUCAUUGUAAACGUUUUUAGGCCUAUGUAGCCAAAUUGUAUCUAUGAUCGUAUGCUAUCCAUUCAUGUUUUUGGAAUGUUAUUUUAUAUCUGAGAAUUAACCAAUGAUAUCGGGCCACACCCGGCCAUGGUUACAGUCACCUGUGUGUGUCUAUUGACACUAUAUAAACUAGCCACCCUGCAUUGUUUGUUAUUAUACCCUGAUGAAGACAGCUUGUAUGUCGAAACGUUGGUUAUUAAAUUAUUGCGUCUCUCUGUGCGGCUCUAAUUUUUCAAGUGUUCUCCUCCGCUAGCCAGCACCUCGCCUAAAUUGGUGUCCUACUCUGCUAGCCAGCACCUCUCCUAAAUAGGUGUUCUACUCUGCUAGCCAGCACCUCUCCUAAAUAGGUGUUCUACUCUGCUAGCCAGCACCUCUCCUAAAUUGGUGUUCUACUCUGCUAGCCAGCACCUCUCAUAAACAGGAGUUCUACUCCGCUAGCCAGCACCUCUCCUAAACAGGUGUUCUACUCUGCUAGCCAGCACCUCUCCUAAACAGGUGUUCUACUCUGCUAGCCAGCACCUCUCCUAAACAGGUGUUCUACUCUGCUAGCCAGCACCUCUCCUAAACAGGUGUUCUACUCCGCUAGCCAGCCCCUCUCCUAAACAGGUGUUCUACUCUGCUAGCCAGCACCUCUCCUAAACAGGUGUUCUACUCCGCUAGCCAGCACCUCUCCUAAACAGGUGUUCUACUCUGCUAGC
rnacentral:lncRNA from 1 species